rnacentral:rRNA from 1 species
UACGAAGGGGGCUAGCGUUGUUCGGAUUUACUGGGCGUAAAGCGCACGUAGGCGGAUUGUUAAGUCAGAGGUGAAAUCCCGGAGCUCAACUCCGGAACUGCCUUUGAUACUGGCAAUCUAGAAGUCCGGAAGAGGUGAGUGGAACUCCUAGUGUAGAGGUGGAAUUCGUAGAUAUUAGGAAGAACACCAGUGGCGAAGGCGGCUCACUGGUCCGGUACUGACGCUGAGGUGCGAAAGCGU